GAUGAACGCUGGCGGCGUGCCUAAUACAUGCAAGUAGAACGCUGAAGCUUGGUGCUUGCACCGAGCGGAUGAGUUGCGAACGGGUGAGUAACGCGUAGGUAACCUGCCUGGUAGCGGGGGAUAACUAUUGGAAACGAUAGCUAAUACCGCAUAACAGUCGACAUUGCAUGAUGUUGAUUUGAAAGGGGCAAUUGCUCCACUACCAGAUGGACCUGCGUUGUAUUAGCUAGUUGGUGAGGUAACGGCUCACCAAGGCGACGAUACAUAGCCGACCUGAGAGGGUGAUCGGCCACACUGGGACUGAGACACGGCCCAGACUCCUACGGGAGGCAGCAGUAGGGAAUCUUCGGCAAUGGGGGCAACCCUGACCGAGCAACGCCGCGUGAGUGAAGAAGGUUUUCGGAUCGUAAAGCUCUGUUGUAAGAGAAGAACG
rnacentral:rRNA from 1 species